UAGUCGCCACGAGUUUCGGACCUUGCAGGCUCAUCCGAACCUCUGUGUGCAGGUGAGGAGCGAUGGGCAGGUGCAGCUCAUGCAGUGCCUGCAGGAAGGCGCUGCCCGUGGCCGGCCGGCCGACCUCCUGCUGAUGGAGAUCAGAGAGCAGGGGAAUGUGACC